UGAGCAAUCUGCCCUUCUCUUUGGAAUAAGCGUUGGAAACGACGUCUAAUGCCGGAUACGACCUCCUUUCGCAUGAUCGGAGGUGGAAAGCUCCGGCGGAGAAGGAUGAGCUCGCGGCCUAUCAGCUAGUUGGUGUGGGUAAUGGCCCACCAAGGCGACGACGGGUAGCCGGCCUGAGAGGGUGACCGGCCACACUGGGACUGAGACACGGCCCAGACUCCUACGGGAGGNAGCG
rnacentral:rRNA from 1 species